AGAGUUUGAUCAUGGCUCAGAUUGAACGCUGGCGGAAUGCUUUACACAUGCAAGUCGAACGGCAGCGCGGGGCAACCUGGUGGCGAGUGGCGAACGGGUGAGUAAUACAUCGGAACGUGCCCAAUCGUGGGGGAUAACGUAGCGAAAGUUACGCUAAUACCGCAUACGAUCUACGGAUGAAAGCGGGGGAUCGCAAGACCUCGCGCGAAUGGAGCGGCCGAUGUCAGAUUAGGUAGUUGGUGGGGUAAAGGCUCACCAAGCCAACGAUCUGUAGCUGGUCUGAGAGGACGACCAGCCACACUGGAACUGAGACACGGUCCAGACUCCUACGGGAGGCAGCAGUGGGGAAUUUUGGACAAUGGGCGCAAGCCUGAUCCAGCCAUUCCGCGUGCAGGAUGAAGGCCUUCGGGUUGUAAACUGCUUUUGUACGGAACGAAACGGCGAGCUCUAAUACAGUUUGCUAAUGACGGUACCGUAAGAAUAAGCACCGGCUAACUACGUG
rnacentral:rRNA from 1 species